CAGGAUACGCUCGAGAUGUGCUCCAAGGAUCAGGAGUUUAAAAGCAUCCUCUUCUCCCUGUGUUACUUCCAUGGCUGCGUGGCAGGGAGACUGAGGUUUGGUCCCCAGGGCUGGAGCCGAAGCUAUCCUUUCAGCCCGGGAGACCUGACCAUCUGCACCAACAUCCUCUACAACCACUUAGAGGCAAACCCUCACGUAAGUGCCGCCAUCAGAUAACCCCUUCCGAGGAGUGCGUGGAAAAUGUCAGUCUUUGGGCCCUAAUGGAACGGACCACCAUUUCUCUUCUGAAGUAGCCAACACUGCAUAAGCAUCAUCCGCCAAGUGUGAAAAUAAACCAGAGUAAAGGUUUUCAUAAGAUAGGUCAAACCAGUUCUACACCAGUAGCUUAUGCAAAAAAAAGAAAAAAAA
rnacentral:lncRNA from 1 species